rnacentral:lncRNA from 1 species
AAAAUUUUUCAUCACAUCAAAUUUACGAUACAUGCAUGGAGUAAUAAAUGUAGACGAAAUCAAAAUCUAAUUGCACAGUUUUGUUGUACUUUACGAGACGAAUCUUUUGAGCCUAAUUAGUCAAUGUUUGGACAAUAAUUCACAAAUACAAACGAAAUGUUACAGUUACACAUUUAUAGCAAAAUGCAAAUUUUGCCACUCCCAAAUUGAGAAGUAAACCAGGCCCAAGUCCAGGGCUCAAGCAGCUGGAGCACACCUCGUAACCAGCGAAACGAGCAAAGGAGCACGCGUACAGUUCGUCGCCGGCGGUUGUGGCUUUGGGUCCGUUUGGCAGCGCGGAGGGAGGUCGGGCUAGAGCUAGCUGGUGCAGCCAGCUGUGUUUGCUAGCCUAGUCAGCUUCUUGGACCAGGCAUGCCCGGUGAAAAACGGUCCAUCAGCCUGCAUAGCAUGGAACGCUAAAAUCUAUCGCUCCACGCGAUGCAGGUGGUUGCGGUGACCCCCGGUUCAAUUUUGUUCACGCAACGCUGCAGAACUCGAAGGUCGUUGACCGGAGGCGCGACGAGGCGUGCGAUUUGCGUUGUGCUGCUGUUGUCGAUGGCGUGCAGCAGCGGAUCCGGUUGGAGAUCCUGCACAUGGGUGUGAUGAGGACGGCCUUCCCACUCCUCGGGCCGAUUGUGGAGGGCAGCGCAGCGGCGGCGCACGGGUGCCGCGGACACCCCGCCCCCACUAUGCGCUAGGGGCCCGUCGGCGCCGCCGCGCCUGAGGCCCCCGUCUCCGACUCUCCGUUGCCAGCCAGAAUCCUCCUGCCUCCACCGUCGAUGCACGUGGUUCGUCUCCGCCCCUAAGGUCCCAUCUCCAAGCGGGGGCUUGCAUCCACCGUGGUUCUGCACUUCUGCUUACCAUCCUCAUCGGCACAGAGUGGAGGAGGCGAAGAAAUCAGGGCUGCUUGGCUGCUGCCUGGCUUGGCCUGGAGAUCACAUAUAAAUUCAUGUUUGGGGAUCGAUUAGUAGUGACUUGUUUGGAUUGAUUGAACGAAGCAAGAGCAUUUUGCUCAUGCUCUUUAUGGAAGCAACUUGGAUGCAAGGAAGAAGAUGGAAUGGUGGUAAAGCUACCACAUUUUCAAUGUAAGGUCUGCUUAUCAUGUUGUCCACCUUAAUAAAUAUCAUUCUAGC